rnacentral:rRNA from 1 species
GUCUUCGGACCGGUGCGCGGUUGCGUUAAGUUACUACGUCGCCGAUGUUGCUGGGAAGAUGACCAAACUUGAUCAUUUAGAGGAAGUAAAAGUCGUAACAAGGUUUCCGUAGGUG